GUUUGAUCCUGGCUCAGAUUGAACGCUGGCGGCAUGCCUUACACAUGCAAGUCGAACGGUAACAGGUCUUCGGAUGCUGACGAGUGGCGAACGGGUGAGUAAUACAUCGGAACGUGCCCGAUCGUGGGGGAUAACGGAGCGAAAGCUUUGCUAAUACCGCAUACGAUCUACGGAUGAAAGCGGGGGAUCUUCGGACCUCGCGCGGACGGAGCGGCCGAUGGCAGAUUAGGUAGUUGGUGGGAUAAAAGCUUACCAAGCCGACGAUCUGUAGCUGGUCUGAGAGGAUGAUCAGCCACACUGGGACUGAGACACGGCCCAGACUCCUACGGGAGGCAGCAGUGGGGAAUUUUGGACAAUGGGGGCAAC
rnacentral:rRNA from 1 species